rnacentral:lncRNA from 1 species
CUCAAUCGAGCUCCGGCCGUCCCCGCCGACCUGAGAGGCCAUCACCGGACCUUGACCACCACCGCCGACCUGAGAGGCCAUCGCCAGACCUUGACCACCACCGCCGACCUGAGAGGCCUUCGCCGGAGCUUGACCACCGCCGCCGACCUGAGAGGCCCUCACCUGACCUUGACUAUCACCGUCGGCCUGAGAGGCCAUCUCCAGACCGUCGAUCGCGAGAUCCUGAACUUCCUCGCCCUUUGUCCAAGAGAAAGUAUGAAGAUUAUGAUGAUCACCAUCAUGAGGACCGCCAUCGCCGCGACCACCAUGAGGACCGCCACCACCGUGAGUAUGCCCAUCGCAGUAGCAGUAGCCACCACC